CUCCAACCGCGACAAUUUUGACAGUAAAGCGAUCAGUAGGUGUCAAAAGCUUUGUGGGUCUGCAGACCCUGCAACAGGGCGCAUUACAGACGAAAACAGAGGUUUGUUUACAAACAAACGAAAACAGAGCAAUAAAAUGGGUAGCAAACCGGAGCAAAAAAGAUACGUAAAACUGAACCCUGAGCAAAGUUCCACAAUCGUAGUAACUGAAACCAACAUCAAGUGCUUCUUUCGACUUCAGCAUGAAUAAUGACGCGUAUGUUAUCCAUGGAACCAUCUCUCGCUCCUACAUGCGGUUUUUCACCGACGGACUCGGCGUCGCCCAUCCCUUCGCGACGAGU